rnacentral:rRNA from 1 species
GGCUCAGGAUGAACGCUAGCUACAGGCUUAACACAUGCAAGUCGAGGGGCAGCAUUGGAGUAGCAAUACUCAGAUGGCGACCGGCGCACGGGUGAGUAACACGUAUCCAACCUGCCGCUUACUCGGGGAUAGCCUUUCGAAAGAAAGAUUAAUACCCGAUGGUAUAAAGAGUUCGCAUGUUCUCUUUAUUAAAGAUUUCGGUAAGCGAUGGGGAUGCGUUCCAUUAGAUAGUUGGCGGGGUAACGGCCCACCAAGUCUACGAUGGAUAGGGGGUUCUGAGAGGAAGGUCCCCCACAUUGGAACUGAGACACGGUCCAAACUCCUACGGGAGGCAGCAGUGAGGAAUAUUGGUCAAUGGACGAGAGUCUGAACCAGCCAAAAGUAGCGUGAAGGAUGACUGCCCUAUGGGUUGUAAACUUCUUUUAUAAGGGAAUAAAGUGAGGGACGUGUCCCUUUUUGUAUGUACCUUAUGAAUAAGGAUCGGCUAACUCCGUGCCAGCCGCGGC